AGGGAGGUUCGGAGAAAUGUUAAAAGCAGUACCAAUGUCCUGGCUGAAGAAGGAUAGCUUAUUGGAAGCAACAGCACUGCUCCCUGAGACCAUUCCUGAGGCCCUGGGCCCUGGCAUUUGGUUGUUGAGUCUCUUUCAGCUUUGCCCAAGCAGCUGAGGUGAGGGAACAUUUUAUACGCAAGCAUCCAACUCAAGCAUCCAAGUCAGUCUCUGACUGACCAGAAGCACAGCUUCAUGAAGACCGUGGAUCUUAUUCAAGGGUUCGGAAGAAAUUGUUCCUAAAUACAAAGAACCUGGCUGGAACUCGGGCUCUGAAGACCAUCUCUUUGAAGACAGCGUCUCAGACACUCUGAACUGCAGCUGAUGGAGAGGACACCUUUACUGAAAAGUGAGACUAUUUAAAAGUAAAGGUAUAGGAGGCUGGAGAGAUGUCUCAGCAGUUAAGAGCACUGGCUGGUUUUGCAGUACACAAGUUCCAUUCCCGGUACCCUCAUGGUAGCUCACAACUGUCUUUAACUUUAGGCCCAGAAGCAUGCAUGCUGGAAAAGUCCUGACAGUUCAUUCAUUCAGCCCCACCCUGGAGCCAGCUGAUGUCUGACUGGGCAGACCCUCCCUCUUUGAUGUUGUACUCUUGUGAGAGUGCCCUGCUGUGAAAAAAAUUUUAUCCAUCCAAAUUAAAGAGAAAUAUUUCUGCA